UGCGCAGGCGGUUAUAUAAGACAGAUGUGAAAUCCCCGGGCUCAACCUGGGACCUGCAUUUGUGACUGUAUAGCUAGAGUACGGUAGAGGGGGAUGGAAUUCCGCGUGUAGCAGUGAAAUGCGUAGAUAUGCGGAGGAACACCGAUGGCGAAGGCAAUCCCCUGGACCUGUACUGACGCUCAUGCACGAAAGCGUGGGGAGCAAACAGGAUUAGAUACCCUGGUAGUCCACGCCCUAAACGAUGUCAACUGGUUGUUGGGUCUUCACUGACUCAGUAACGAAGCUAACGCGUGAAGUUGACCGCCUGGGGAGUACGGCCGCAAGGUUGAA
rnacentral:rRNA from 1 species